rfam:Nitrincola nitratireducens strain AK23 contig000014, whole genome shotgun sequence.
AGACUCUAUCAUUGUGAUAGAGCAUUAAUAUGGAGUACAUUGAAUGGCCCGUAUAGCUGGCGUCAAUAUUCCUGAC